rnacentral:rRNA from 1 species
GGGUUGUGAGGUUAAGCGACUAAGCGUACACGGUGGAUGCCCUGGCAGUCAGAGGCGAUGAAGGGCGUGCUAAUCUGCGAUAAGCGCCGGUAAGGUGAUAUGAACCGUUAUAACCGGCGAUACCCGAAUGGGGAAACCCAGUGUGAUUCGUCACACUAUCAUUAACUGAAUCCAUAGGUUAAUGAGGCGAACCGGGGGAACUGAAACAUCUAAGUACCCCGAGGAAAAGAAAUCAACCGAGAUUCCCCCAGUAGCGGCGAGCGAACGGGGAGGAGCCCAGAGCCUGAAUCAGCAUGUGUGUUAGUGGAAGCGUCUGGAAAGGCGCGCGAUACAGGGUGACAGCCCCGUACACAAAAGCGCAUGUGCUGUGAGCUCGAUGAGUAGGGCGGGACACGUGGUAUCCUGUCUGAAUAUGGGGGGACCAUCCUCCAAGGCUAAAUACUCCUGACUGACCGAUAGUGAACCAGUACCGUGAGGGAAAGGCGAAAAGAACCCCGGCGAGGGGAGUGAAAAAGAACCUGAAACCGUGUACGUACAAGCAGUGGGAGCCCCACCACCAAAGCAUUCUCUGGUGUUGAAGGCCCUGCAAAGCAGCAUCGCGGUGGCGGAGCGUCGUUUGCGACGCCCAACACACAAAACAAGCGGUGAAUGCUUUGGGGUGGGGUGACUGCGUACCUUUUGUAUAAUGGGUCAGCGACUUAUAUUCUGUAGCAAGGUUAACCGAAUAGGGGAGCCGGAGGGAAACCGAGUCUUAAUUGGGCGUUAAGUUGCAGGGUAUAGACCCGAAACCCGGUGAUCUAGCCAUGGGCAGGUUGAAGGUUGGGUAACACUAACUGGAGGACCGAACCGACUAAUGUUGAAAAAUUAGCGGAUGACCUGUGGCU